GAUGAACGCUAGCGGCAGGCUUAACACAUGCAAGUCGAGGGGUAGAGGUUGCUUGCAACCUUGAGACCGGCGCACGGGUGCGUAACGCGUAUGCAACCUACCUUUUACAGAGGGAUAGCCCAGAGAAAUUUGGAUUAAUACCUCAUAGUAUAUAACCUUCGCAUGUUGGUUAUAUUAAAGUUCAAACGGUAAAAGAUGGGCAUGCGUCCUAUUAGCUAGAUGGUAAGGUAACGGCUUACCAUGGCAACGAUAGGUAGGGGUCCUGAGAGGGAGAUCCACCACACUGGUACUGAGACACGGACCAGACUCCUACGGGAGGCAGCAGUGAGGAAUAUUGGACAAUGGGCGCAAGCCUGAUCCAGCCAUGCCGCGUGCAGGAAGAAGCAUCUAUGGUGUGUAAACUGCUUUUGUACAGGAAGAAACACCCCGACGUGUCGGGGCUUGACGGUACUGUAAGAAUAAGGAUCGGCUAACUCCGUGCCAGCAGCCGCGGUAA
rnacentral:rRNA from 1 species